rnacentral:lncRNA from 1 species
AGAUGGGGAAUGAAACAAAAUACCAGAAUAAAGUAAUAUAUUUUCUUGUUGAUGAUUUUUAACAUUUUUGUGUCAGGGCGUUUAACGUGCAUCCAGCACCAAUUAAAAGGUACCAUCAAUCAAUAAAAAAACUUACAAACGGCAAAAGUUUAGCGAAAAAAGGCCGGUGGUAGGCGAAAUUAGAAUCAGUAUUUCGUAUGUUGGGUCGACGCACCAACCACUUCUGAAGAUGCAGUUCAUUAGUGCUUGCGAAACGUUAGAAAACUCCAAACAAUCGACUAUUUGUGCACUUUUCGCAAAACUAGUUUUUUCUCGGAAAUGAGCAACUAUUACCAUUACCUCAACCACCUGUAUUGAUCAGGAUCCAAAUGUGCUAAUGAAUCUGAUAGGAUUGUUAUCAUGAAAAUUUAAAUUUGUCUUCCCAUAAACACGAACCAAAUGCGUUAUUGAUCGUCACAAAUUCCGGAUUGAAGGGCAAAUAUUGACCGGCUAAUUAUCGAAUGAAAUAUUGAAUAAUCCCAUCGAUUUUGUUUACCGGCAAGCCGACAAUUGUUAUUGUAAUUUCCUUAAUUCGGGCUUGGACGAGCAAAUAUUGGAAUGUUUAUUGUUAUUUAACACUAUAAGUCAAUAGGCAUUGGAAUGGGGUUUAAUAACAAACCAAAAAGUGCAAAUUUUAAUUAAUUUUUGGAUAGCGGCUUUAUUAGUUGGAACAUCGAAGAGUUACCCAUUUUUUUUCAGGCAAUUAAGCCCAGAAUUCUUAUUAAUUAUUGAUCUGCAAAUGGCCUGAACUAGUGUAACCUUUCAAGGCACGUAUCUUGACUGCGAAAAUAGCCAAGAAUAAACAAUGCAAACAAAUUACUUCGCGAUAACUUAUAAAUAAAGUGAUUCCCCAUUUCCAAUCUGUCGAUUGACUAUAAAACCACAAUCUUCGGCUCAACAAGUGCAUUGAGUGAUAGUUGGUCAAACAGUGUUAUUCACAAUGAAACUGCUGUUUAUUCUCUUGGUGAUUUUUGUCGCCCUCAAUGGACUUUUGGCCAGCCCAUCGCGGGAUAGCCCUAGCGGUGGAACUAGGGGCGGUAGCAGUGGAGCGAAUGGAGGCAGAGGAGGAGAUGGGAGAAAUCGUGGAGGCGCUGAGCAUGGCGGGCACGGGCCUGGGGAUAGAAGCGGGCACAGUCGAGUCGCCUGAUUUAUAACUGUAUCUCUUAUGUUGAAUACAAUGUGGAAAUUUUUAACGUA